rnacentral:hammerhead_ribozyme from 1 species
GCACUGCUGAUGAGUCCCAAACAGGACGAACUGGCAGUCCAGUGC